CCUACGGGUGGCAGCAGUGAGGAAUAUUGGUCAAUGGACGAGAGUCUGAACCAGCCAAGUAGCGUGAAGGAUGACUGCCCUAUGGGUUGUAAACUUCUUUUAUAUGGGAAUAAAAUGUUCCACGUGUGGGAUUUUGUAUGUACCAUAUGAAUAAGGAUCGGCUAACUCCGUGCCAGCAGCCGCGGUAAUACGGAGGAUCCGAGCGUUAUCCGGAGUUAUUGGGUUUAAAGGGAGCGUAGGUGGAUUGUUAAGUCAGUUGUGAAAGUUUGCGGCUCAACCGUAAAAUUGCAGUUGAAACUGGCAGUCUUGAGUACAGUAGAGGUGAGCGGAAUUCGUGGUGUAGCGGUGAAAUGCGUAGAUAUCACGAAGAACUCCGAUUGCGAAGGCAGUUCACUGGACUGCAACUGACACUGAGGCUCGAAAGUGUGGGUAUCAAACAGGAUUAGAUACCCUUGUAGUC
rnacentral:rRNA from 1 species